rnacentral:rRNA from 1 species
UGGUGGAGUGAUUUGUCUGGUUAAUUCCGUUAACGAGCGAGACCUUAGCCUGCUAAAUAGUUACGUGUAACUUCGGUUAUGCGGGCAACUUCUUAGAGGGACUUUGUGUGUCUAACGCAAGGAAGUUUGAGGCAAUAACA